rnacentral:rRNA from 1 species
UACGGAGGGUGCGAGCGUUGUCCGGAAUCAUUGGGCGUAAAGGGCGCGUAGGUGGCCUGGUCAGUUCGUGGUGAAAGCGCGGGGCUCAACUCCGCGUCGGCCAUGAAUACUGCUGGGCUGGAGCACUGUAGAGGCAGGCGGAAUUCCGGGUGUAGCGGUGGAAUGCGUAGAGAUCCGGAAGAACACCGGUGGCGAAGGCGGCCUGCUGGACCGUAACUGACGCUGAGACACGAAAGCGUGGGUAGCAAACAGG